UGAAGUCGUACCGUAAGGAGCGGUGGACUGAUUACGAGUGAGAAUGUUGGCAUUAGUAGCGAGAUGUAGGUGAGAAUCCUACAGGCCGAAUAUCUAAGGUUUCCUCAGGAAGGCUCGUCCGCUGAGGGUUAGUCGGGACCUAAGCCGAGGCCGAAAGGCGUAGGCGAUGGACAAUCGGUUGAUAUUCCGAUACCACUACCAUCGUUAUUAUCGAGGGUGUGACGGAGAAGGAUAGUGUGUGCUAGCGAUUGGAAAUGCUAGUCUAAGCGUUUAGGGAGUUACGGUAGGCAAAUCCGCUGUAACAAUUCUGAGGCGUGAUGGGGAAGGCCAUAUAGGCCGAAGUACAUGAUUCCAUGCUUCCAAGAAAAGCAUCUAGAGAGAGAAGUAGUGCCCGUACCGCAAACCGACACAGGUAGAUGAGGAGAAGAUUCUAAGGCCGGCGGAAGAAUUGCAGUUAAGGAACUAGGCAAAUUGACCCCGUAAGUUCGCGAGAAGGGGUGCCUGCGAGAGCAGGCCGCAGAGAAUAGGCCCAAGCAACUGUUUAGCAAAAACACAGGUCUCUGCUAAAGCGUAAGCUGAUGUAUAGGGGCUGACGCCUGCCCGGUGCUGGAAGGUUAAGGGGAACACUUAGCGCAAGCGAAGGUGUGAACUUAAGCCCCAGUAAACGGCGGCCGUAACUAUAACGGUCCUAAGGUAGCGAAAUUCCUUGUCAGGUAAGUUCUGACCCGCAUGAAAGGCGUAAUGAUUUGGGCACUGUCUCAACUGCAAAUCCGGCGAAGUUGUAGUGCGAGUGAAGAUGCUCGCUACCCGCGAUUGGACGGAAAGACCCCGUAGAGCUUUACUGUAGCUUAGCAUUGAAUUCCGGUAUUGUCUGUACAGGAUAGGUGGGAGACUGGGAAACUAGGGCGUCAGCCUUAGUGGAGUCAACCUUGGGAUACCACCCUGACAGUACUGGGGUUCUAACAGGACGCCAUGAAUCUGGUGACUGGACAUUGUUAGGUGGGCAGUUUGACUGGGGCGGUCGCCUCCUAAAAAGUAACGGAGGCGCCCAAAGGUUCCCUCAGAACGGUCGGAAAUCGUUCGUAGAGUGCAAAGGCAGAAGGGAGCCUGACUGCGAGACAUACAAGUCGAGCAGGGACGAAAGUCGGGCUUAGUG
rnacentral:rRNA from 1 species